rnacentral:lncRNA from 1 species
GACCCAGUGGCAGCGGCGGUACUUCUACCUGUUCCCCAACCGCCUCGAGUGGCGGGGCGAGGGCGAGGCCCCGCAGAGCCUGCUGACCAUGGAGGAGAUCCAGUCGGUGGAGGAGACGCAGAUCAAGGAGCGCAAGUGCCUGCUCCUCAAGAUCCGCGGUGGGAAACAGUUCAUUUUGCAGUGCGAUAGCGACCCUGAGCUGGUGCAGUGGAAGAAGGAGCUGCGCGACGCCUACCGCGAGGCCCAGCAGCUGGUGCAGCGGGUGCCCAAGAUGAAGAACAAGCCGCGCUCGCCCGUGGUGGAGCUGAGCAAGGUGCCGCUGGUCCAGCGCGGCAGUGCCAACGGCCUCUGACCCGCCCACCCGCCUUUUAUAAACCUCUAAUUUAUUUUGUCGAAUUUUUAUUAUUUGUUUUCCCGCCAAGCGGAAAAGGUUUUAUUUUGUAAUUAUUGUGAUUUCCCGUGGCCCCAGCCUGGCCCAGCUCCCCCGGGAGGGGCCCGCUUGCCUCGGCUCCUGCUGCACCAACCCAGCCGCUGCCCGGCGCCCUCUGUCCUGACUUCAGGGGCUGCCCGCUCCCAGUGUCUUCCUGUGGGGGAAGAGCACAGCCCUCCCGCCCCUUCCCCGAGGGAUGAUGCCACACCAAGCUGUGCCACCCUGGGCUCUGUGGGCUGCACUCUGUGCCCAUGGGCACUGCUGGGUGGCCCAUCCCCCCUCACCAGGGGCAGGCACAGCACAGGGAUCCGACUUGAAUUUUCCCACUGCACCCCCUCCUGCUGCAGAGGGGCAGGCCCUGCACUGUCCUGCUCCACAGUGUUGGCGAGAGGAGGGGCCCGUUGUCUCCCUGGCCCUCAAGGCCUCCCACAGUGACUCGGGCUCCUGUGCCCUUAUUCAGGAAAAGCCUCUGUGUCACUGGCUGCCUCCACUCCCACUUCCCUGACACUGCGGGGCUUGGCUGAGAGAGUGGCAUUGGCAGCAGGUGCUGCUACCCUCCCUGCUGUCCCCUCUUGCCCCAACCCCCAGCACCCGGGCUCAGGGACCACAGCAAGGCACCUGCAGGUUGGGCCAUACUGGCCUCGCCUGGCCUGAGGUCUCGCUGAUGCUGGGCUGGGUGCGACCCCAUCUGCCCAGGACGGGGCCGGCCAGGUGGGCGGGCAGCACAGCAAGGAGGCUGGCUGGGGCCUAUCAGUGUGCCCCCCAUCCUGGCCCAUCAGUGUACCCCCGCCCAGGCUGGCCAGCCCCACAGCCCACGUCCUGUCAGUGCCGCCGCCUCGCCCACCGCAUGCCCCCUCGUGCCAGUCGCGCUGCCUGUGUGGUGUCGCGCCUUCUCCCCCCCGGGGCUGGGUUGGCGCACCCUCCCCUCCCGUCUACUCAUUCCCCGGGGCGUUUCUUUGCCGAUUUUUGAAUGUGAUUUUAAAGAGUGAAAAAUGAGACUAUGCGUUUUUAUAAAAAAUGGUGCC